rnacentral:rRNA from 1 species
UACGAAGGGGGCUAGCGUUGCUCGGAAUCACUGGGCGUAAAGCGCACGUAGGCGGAUCUUUAAGUCAGGGGUGAAGUCCUGGAGCUCAACUCCAGAACUGCCUUUGAUACUGGGGAUCUCGAGUCCGGAAGAGGUAAGUGGAACUCCGAGUGUAGAGGUGAAAUUCGUAGAUAUUCGGAAGAACACCAGUGGCGAAGGCGGCUUACUGGUCCGGUACUGACGCUGAGGUGCGAAAGCGUGGGGAGCAAACAGG